GGUGAGAUGGCCGAGCGGUCUAAGGCGCCACGUUAAGGUCUUCCUUAAUCAACAUCUCCUAGUAGAUUCCGUGGUCCGAAAGGGCGUGGGUUCGAAUCCCACUCUCAUCA
rnacentral:tRNA from 1 species